rnacentral:rRNA from 1 species
GACGAACGCUGGCGGCGUGCUUAACACAUGCAAGUCGAACGGAAAGGCCCUGCUUUUGUGGGGUGCUCGAGUGGCGAACGGGUGAGUAACACGUGAGUAACCUGCCCUUGACUUUGGGAUAACUUCAGGAAACUGGGGCUAAUACCGGAUAGGAGCUCCUGCUGCAUGGUGGGGGUUGGAAAGUUUCGGCGGUUGGGGAUGGACUCGCGGCUUAUCAGCUUGUUGGUGGGGUAGUGGCUUACCAAGGCUUUGACGGGUAGCCGGCCUGAGAGGGUGACCGGCCACAUUGGGACUGAGAUACGGCCCAGACUCGUACGGGAGGCAGCAGUGGGGAAUAUUGCACAAUGGGCGGAAGCCUGAUGCAGCAACGCCGCGUGCGGGAUGACGGCCUUCGGGUUGUAAACCGCUUUCUCCUGUGACGAAGCGUGAGUGACGGUAAUGGGUAAAGAAGCACCGGCUAACUACGUG